UGUUCUUUGCAGCUUGUAGCUUUGUACUUGCACUUGCCUCAUUUGAAGAAUGAUCUUGUAUUAUGCCUUUAUUGAAGCAUGUCUUUGAUUCUUCAAAUUCUGGAACAAAUGUGACUCAGAUUGAUCCUUUGCUGAUUCUAUAUGAGAAUAUAAGAUGAAUGAUGUUUCCAGGAUUGAUCUUUUUACAAGGAAACUGAUUAUCC
rnacentral:lncRNA from 1 species